rnacentral:rRNA from 1 species
GAGGGAAAGGUGAAAAGGACCCCUGCUAGGGGAGUUUAAAGUUCCUGAAACCCCGUGCCUACAAAGUGUGGGAGCAUCUUCGGAUGUGACCGCGUGCCUUUUGCAUAAUGAGUCUGCGAGUUAUUGUCAGUGGCAAGCCUAAGCACUAUUGGUGCGCAGGCGAAGCGAAAGCGAGUGUGAAUAGCGCGACCAGUCGCUGGCGAUAGACCCGAAGCGGAGGUGAUCUAACCAUGGGCAGGUUGAAGCUGAGGUAAAACUCAGUGAAGGACCGAACCGUUGUACGUUGAAAAGUGCUCGGAUGACCUGUGGUUAGGAGUGAAAGGCUAAUCAAACCCCGUGAUAGCUGGUUCUCUUCGAAAUAGCUUUAGGGCUAGCGUCGGGAAUAGUACUCCGAGGAGGUAGAGCACUGAUUGGCUUAGGGUCCCUAACAGGAUACCAAAACCAGUUAAACUCCGAAUGCCUCGGAUCCCAUUAUCCCGGCAGUCAGUCGGCGAGUGAUAAGAUCCGUCGUCGAAAGGGAAACAACC